CAGGGCAUCAGUGGCGUCCUCUGGACCGGCUCCGCAGCUGAAUUCCACACCCUGGUCCCCAUCGUCUAUUGCCUCCAGGUGGCAUUCUCCGGCCCUUGUGGAGCUUGAGCUCCCUGGUGUCCUUUAACAAAUUCCGUUUCUGCUCAUAUCCACCAGCGUCCUUCUCUGCGGCCUGCAAAUAAGAACGCUGCCUCUUAGAUGACCCCUGGGCCCCCACUGUCUGUCCUGGGGAGCAGCAGAUGGGAAUGCCACGUUUGUGUGAAGGAGGGACCCAUCCCUGCCAGGCAUGGUGGUCAGGACAGGCUUCUUGGAGACGGUGGGCCAGAAGGCUAAGGAGGAGACUGCUCUCUCCAGACUGGCCGGCACGGAGAGUCAUGAGUGCAGCAAAAAGAAUUUAUCAAGGGGGCACAGGAAGCUCGCAAAGGCACCAGAAGAUCCAAAUAGACAGACUGGCCGAACUUUUCCAGAACAACUUCCAACACCACAUCCCCGAACGAGGCUGCCCAGAGUGAGCGGCUGCCUCCAGAAAGUGCCAGAUCAGGAAGCUACCCUCAAAUGAGUGGCCCUACCAUCGACCCUAGUAAAGUGGACACCUCAUGCCCUUCCUCCAUCCCCUCAAAACGCAGCUCCAAAUCAAAGUCUCAUGGGAGUGUGUCGCAUUGCAGGACCCGAGGGCAUCUGGGCAACUAGCUUGUAGCUCCCCAGCUUCCCGGUGCAGAAAAGAAAGCACAGCAGAGUGUGGGAAUGGAGGGCUCUGAUCCAGGCCCUGGGAAUAGCGCAGGAAGACAAGAGGGCCCCAGGCCAGCCGUUUCUG